rnacentral:rRNA from 1 species
AUUGAACGCCGGCGGCAUGCCUUACACAUGCAAGUCGAACGGUAACAGGUCUUCGGAUGCUGACGAGUGGCGAACGGGUGAGUAAUACAUCGGAACGUGCCUAGUAGUGGGGGAUAACUACUCGAAAGAGUGGCUAAUACCGCAUGAGAUCUACGGAUGAAAGCAGGGGAUCGCAAGACCUUGUGCUACUAGAGCGGCCGAUGGCAGAUUAGGUAGUUGGUGGGAUAAGAGCUUACCAAGCCGACGAUCUGUAGCUGGUCUGAGAGGACGAUAAGCCACACUGGGACUGAGACACGGCCCAGACUCCUACGGGAGGCAGCAGUGGGGAAUUUUGGACAAUGGGCGAAAGCCUGAUCCAGCAAUGCCGCGUGCAGGAUGAAGGCCUUCGGGUUGUAAACUGCUUUUGUACGGAACGAAAAGCCCCGGGUUAAUACCCUGGGGUCAUGACGGUACCGUAAGAAUAAGCACCGGCUAACUACGUGCCAGCAGCCGCCGUAA